rnacentral:lncRNA from 1 species
AAAUGGUCAGGCUGAGGCAAUUCGAGUAAGAAUCCCUCACUUUAUUCCAUGUUAUGGAAUUGAAGUUUAAUUAUCAAUAAUACGGUAUUUUACAUAAUUUAAAAAGUUUCGAGAAUUAAUUAUAGGUUACUAAUGGAGGUAGAACCAGUUAUUUAUUAUUGUUAUCUUGUUUAACUGAUUGUUUAAUUUUACAGCUUUAAAUAC